CUGCUUUUCUGUUGCCAUGAUAAAACACCAUGACUAGAAGCAGUGUAAGGAAGAGGGUUUCUUUUGGCUUCCGGUUCCAUGGGCAGAGCCAUGGCAACAAGCAGUGGGCACGGGGGCAGAGACAGGAAGUUGGUGGCUCACACCUGGAGUCACAAGCUGGAAGCAGAGAGUAAAAACUGGAAGUAGGCAGGACACACCUCUUAAAUCUCCCCACAGAGUGCCACCAACUGGAGACCACAUGUUCAAAGGCCCAAAACGAGGAGCACUUCUCAUUCAAGCCAUCAUACAGUGUAAGGGAUCAAACUCAGGUCAUCGGGCAUGACGGCGAGCACCUUCACCUGCUGGAUCAUCUUGCUGGCCCCACAGACUUUCCCACUGCGGCAUUCUGAUUUGUCUAGACUGGCUGACCAGCAAGCCUCAGAGGUCCUCCCGCCUCUGCCUCCCUGUGCUGCAAUUGCAGAUGCAGAUGUGGACUGUCAGCUGCUGCUCCAGAUGCCAUGUCUACCUGCUCCCUCUGCUCUGCCAUCAUCGACCAUUAUACCUCUGAAACCACAAGUCCCAACCCAACUCUUCUGUGAACUGCCUUGGUCAUGUGCUUUAUCAGAGCAACAGAAAGGUAUUUGCAUGCACGGUGUGCA
rnacentral:lncRNA from 1 species